UACAGAGGGUGCAAGCGUUGUUCGGAAUUAUUGGGCGUAAAGAGCUCGUAGGCGGCUUGUCGCGUCGAAUGUGAAAUCUCAGGGCUCAACUCUGACAUUGCAUUCGAUACGGGCAGGCUAGAGUGCGGUAGGGGAGACUGGAAUUCCUGGUGUAGCGGUGGAAUGCGCAGAUAUCAGGAGGAACACCAAUAGCGAAGGCAGCUCGCUGGGACGUUACUGACACUGAGGCGCGAAAGCGUGGGGAGCGAACAGG
rnacentral:rRNA from 1 species